rnacentral:sRNA from 1 species
CACCCCACUGAUAGCCAGGGUUGAUUUGGCCUAUUUGGCUGCCUAG